GACGAACGCUGGCGGCGUGCCUAAUACAUGCAAGUCGAGCGGACAGAAGGGAGCUUGCUCCCGGAAGUCAGCGGCGGACGGGUGAGUAACACGUGGGCAACCUGCCUGUAAGACUGGGAUAACUUCGGGAAACCGGAGCUAAUACCGGAUAGGUUCUUCCUCCGCAUGGGGGAAGAUGGAAAGACGGUUUCGGCUGUCACUUACCGCUGGGCCCGCGGCGCAUUAGCUAGUUGGUGGGGUAAUGGCCCACCAAGGCGACGAUGCGUAGCCGACCUGAGAGGGUGAUCGGCCACACUGGGACUGAGACACGGCCCAGACUCCUACGGGAGGCAGCAGUAGGGAAUCUUCCGCAAUGGACGAAAGUCUGACGGAGCAACGCCGCGUGAGCGAAGAAGGCCUUCGGGUCGUAAAGCUCUGUUGUUAGGGAAGAACAAGUGCCAGAGUAACUGCUGGCACCUUGACGGUACCUGACCAGAAAGCCACGGCUAACUACGUGCCAGCAGCCGCCGUAA
rnacentral:rRNA from 1 species